rnacentral:rRNA from 1 species
UGACAAAGUUCAACGGCCGCGGUACCCUAACCGUGCGAAGGUAGCAUAAUCACUUGUUCUUUAAAUGAGGACUCGUAUCAACGGCACUACGAGGGCUAUACUGUCUCCUUUUUCUAAUCAGUGAAACUGAUCUCCCCGUGAAGAAGCGGGGAUCAAAAUAUAAGACGAGAAGACCCCAUGGAGCUUUAAACUCACUAUACACCUCUGUGCCUUUAUGUCACUAGACACAAGAGAUCUGCGUACUAGUUUUAGGUUGGGGGGACCACGGAGUAUAAUUUAACCUCCAUAACAAAUGGGCUAACACCCUUAUCUACGAGACACAACUCUAAGAAUUACUAAACUAAUGCUUAUGACCCGGUAUUCGAUCAAUGAACCAAGUUACCCUGGGGAUAACAGCGCAAUCUACUUCAAGAGCCCAUAUCGACAAGUGGGUUUACGACCUCGAUGUUGGAUCAGGGUAUCCCGGUGGUGCAGCCGCUACCGACGGUUCGUUUGUUCAACGAUUAAAACCCUACGUGAUCUGAG